rnacentral:rRNA from 1 species
GAUGAACGCUAGCGGCAGGCCUAAUACAUGCAAGUCGAGGGGUAGUGGUUGCUUGCAGCCAUGAGACCGGCGCACGGGUGCGUAACGCGUAUGCAACCUACCUUCAUGUGGGGGAUAGCCCGGAGAAAUCCGGAUUAAUACCGCAUAAAAUCACAGUACGGCAUCGUACAAUGAUCAAACAUUUAUGGGAUGGAGAUGGGCAUGCGUGUCAUGAGUUAGUUGGCGGGGUAACGGCCCACCAAGACCGCGAUGACUAGGGGAGCUGAGGGGAUGACCUCCGACACUGGUACUGAGACACGGACCAGACUCCAACGGGGGGCAGCAGAAAGGGAGAUUGGGGAAUGGGCACGAGCCUGAACCAGCCAUGCCGCGUGCAGGAAGACGGCCGUCUGGGUUGUAAACUGCUUUUAUUCGGGAAUGAGCCUGCUUACGGGUAAGUAGCUGAAGGUACCGAAGGAAUAAGCAUCUGCUAACUCCGUGCCAGCAGCCGCCGUAACAC